CUCAAGGGGAGCAGCUUCUCGGUCUGUCUGAGUCUGGCUUGGCUGCCUGGCUGCCUGGCUGUUGGUCUGCGUAAAGAAGGGGCUCCAGGAGAAGAAACUCAAGGCGAGUUUAUCAGUCAGUCAGUCCAUCCAUCCAGCACCUAUCUGCCUUCCUUCAGAGGAACCACCCUGAGGGGGCUCUAGAAAAAAGAAACUUAAGGUUUCUUGCCAUCAGGCCCUAGCCAUGACUUCAGCCUCUGUGUACUGAUAAUCACAAUUUUCAGAUGGAAUGCAUCAGAGAAGAAGAUUCUGCUCAGCAACCAGUUUUCCAGUGAGGGUCAGAUGGACCUCCUGUCUUGCUGGGCACCGUGACAGAAUGCCUUAUCAUUUCUCCUUGGGGAGGGAAAAAGAGAUGGAUGCUCUGUGAGAAAAAACAAUCUGUUUCAAAAAGCUGUUAUGUUUGGAGACUGGACACGUUGCAGAGUAACCAAUAAUGGCCAUGCAACAUUGUGAAUGUGGUUCACUGAUAAACUAUAGCAUGCAAAAUGCUUAGCAUGUGUUUUCCCACUCUGAAGUAUGCUUCCCCUAGCCUUCCCUUCCCUUUUAAAUUUUGAUCAGCCACCACAAUAUUUUUUUCUCCAUGGGACUGUGUCCAUGGCAAUGGCUGGAUGGCAGUCAUCUUUUUUGACAGCAGCAUAAAACAAAGUGAACAGUUUUGCAGCAGUAUAAUCUCCCCCCUGCCACCUUCAUCCACUUUGUUUUACAAAUGAAACUUGAACUCUGCUGUGAUUUAUGUAUCUGUCUUUCUGGAAACACUAAACUGAAAUAAUAAUAUUUGUAGCUGGGUUACAGAACACUCACCUUUACCACUGAUGAUGCAGAGAACAGAAUCCUUAUUUAAUAGUUGUUCUUAAAGAUCUAUUAAGCUAAAACAUCAAUCAGUGGUGCAGAGUUUACAUGCUUGCCAAUGAUUUCAAACUACAAGGCUGUAGCAGAACGGUUACAUAGGCAGCUUCUAUCUGAUUGCAUACAAUAGGUAUUUAUGAUCAUAUAUAUGUGAUAUAUGUGGGCAGUAUUUCCGAAUGGCUGCCAUGGUAGGUGUGGCUCAUCACAUAACACUUAUUUCCCAGAAUGGUGAACUGAUAAGGCUGAAAGACAAUUUGAUCCAGAACUGUACUCAAAUGAUUUGCACAAAAUGAUUUCUUUGAAUCCAUGUUUUUUAUUCUAAGAAGUCACCGAAAGGAUAGUCAAUUAUUUUCUCAAAUCGCCUCUAAAAUGGAUACUUCCCACAUUGCAAAAGUAUAAGAAAACACAUGCACUCUUUCUGGAUCACUCCAACCACACAACCUCUGACACUCUAGAGGGAUAUUAAAGUCUUUAGUGCUCUCUUCUGCACACAUAUAUCCCACAUCCCUAUGUUGUUGUUAACUACCUUGGAGUCUACAACAACCAUAUUCAUCCAUAAUGGAGAUGUACAGUCUUAAUUUGAAAAUCUGUUGUGCCCAAAUGAUGACAAGUUGAUAUUUAAAAUGUAUUAAAUAUUAUUGAAAAUUGAGAUGGAGGAUGAAAAGUAAAAGAAUGUCUGGUCAAACAGGCACAAAAUUUAGGUUAUAAUGUACAUAUAAAGAAGUGGACAAAUGGCUUAAAGUUUACUUUAAGUUAUGACCUUAAGGAAUGUUUUAUAAGAUGAGGUACUGCUGGUAUCUAACACCAGCAAGAAUUUUUAAAAUGUAUAAAGGUUCUUUAAAUCUAUGUUGGAAAUGUGAGAAACAAGAAGGAAAUGUUUAUCAUGUCUGGUCGACUUGUAAGAAAGCUAAAAAAAACCUUUGGACUCAGAUUUAUUAUGCUAAUGAAAGAUAUCCUGAAAAUAAAAUUUCAAGUGAAACCAGAACUAUUUUUGUUGAGAACUUUGGAUGAACAGCUGGAGAGGAAGAAUGGAAGAGUUAUGUGGUACAUAACAAAUGCAGAGAAAAUGAUUUAAGAUCAGACAUAGAAAGAGAAAAAGAUUUAAUCUCAAGAAUACUGGUUGUUAAAAUUAUAUGAAUUUAUAGAAAUGGAUAAGUUGACUACAUUAAUACAUGAGAAAUCAUUAGAUGAUUAUAAAAAGAAUGGAAGCUGUUAAUAGAUUAUAUGGUAAAGAGGUGGGGAUCUGCAAUGGUUUUAGGUUUCUGGGGCCCAUUACAAACAGGCCGUUUUGUGCGUGCGGAGCGCGCACUAGGGUUAGAAAGGAGCGGUGCUUCCGCACCCCCCUAACCCUAGUGCGUGCUCUGCACGCACAAAAUGGCAGUAGCCGUUC